rnacentral:rRNA from 1 species
GACAGAGGGUGCUAGCGUUGUUCGGAAUUACUGGGCGUAAAGGGCGCGUAGGCGGCUUGUUUAGUCGGGUGUGAAAUCCCUGGGCUCAACCCAGGAACUGCGUCCGAUACUGGAAGGCUUGAAUCCGGGAGAGGGAUGCGGAAUUCCAGGUGUAGCAGUGAAAUGCGUAGAUAUCUGGAGGAACACCGAUGGGCGAAGGCAGCCCCCCUGGGCUAACACUGACGCUCA